rnacentral:rRNA from 1 species
UACGGAGGAUGCAAGCGUUAUCCGGAAUGAUUGGGCGUAAAGGGUGCGCAGGUGGCAAUGUAAGUCUGCUGUGAAAGCAUGAGGCUUAACCUCAUCAAGGCAGUGGAAACUACAUAGCUAGAGUACGGUCGGGGUAGAAGGAAUUCCUGGUGUAGCGGUGAAAUGCGUAGAGAUCAGGAAGAACACCGGUGGCGAAAGCGUCCUGCUAGACCUGUACUGACACUGAGGCACGAAAGCUAGGGGAGCGAAUGGG